rnacentral:rRNA from 1 species
AUUGAACGCUGGCGGCAGGCCUAACACAUGCAAGUCGAACGAGUGGCGGACGGGUGAGUAAUGUCUGGGAAACUGCCUGAUGGAGGGGGAUAACUACUGGAAACGGUAGCUAAUACCGCAUACCAUCAGAUGUGCCCAGAUUGGCUUAGCUAGUUGGUGGGGUAACGGCUCACCAGGGCGACGAUCCCUAGCUGGUCUCGGAGGAGGACCGGCAAAACUGGAACGGAGAAACGGUCCAGACUCCUACGGGAGGAAGCAGUGGGGAAUAUGGAACAAGGGGCGCAAGCCUGAUGCAGCCAUGCCGCGUGUAUGAAGAAGGCCUUCGGGUGGUAAAGUACUUUCAGCGGGGAGGCGUUACCCGCAGAAGAAGCACCGGCUAACUCCGUGCCAGCAGCCGCGGUAAUUC